CAGAGUGCGAGGCUCAGUCGUGGCGUCUGCUGCGUGCUGGGCCGACCCUCCCACCCGUGUCGAUUUGUAUCUUGUUGCUUUGGCGGGCCGGGCCGCGCUGUUGCAGUCCGCAUGGACAUGCGUCGGCCGCCCCCCCGGUGUUCCACUGGAGCGCGCCCGCCAAAGACCCAACCAAAACUCAUGUUGUUUGUGUCGUCUCAGCUUUAUUAUGAAAAUUGAUA
rnacentral:misc_RNA from 1 species